rnacentral:rRNA from 1 species
AACGAACGCUGGCGGCAGGCUUAACACAUGCAAGUCGAACGCAUCGCAAGAUGAGUGGCAGACGGGUGAGUAACGCGUGGGAACAUACCCUUUUCUACGGAAUAGCUCUGGGAAACUGGAAUUAAUACCGUAUACGCCCUACGGGGGAAAGAUUUAUCGGGGAAGGAUUGGCCCGCGUUGGAUUAGCUAGUUGGUGGGGUAAAGGCCUACCAAGGCGACGAUCCAUAGCUGGUCUGAGAGGAUGAUCAGCCACACUGGGACUGAGACACGGCCCAAACUCCUACGGGAGGCAGCAGUGGGGAAUAUAGGACAAUGGGCGCAAGCCUGAUCCAGCCAUGCCGCGUGAGUGAUGAAGGCCUUAGGGUUGUAAAGCUCUUUCACCGAUGAAGAUAAUGACGGUAGUCGGAGAAGAAGCCCCGGCUAACUUCGCGCCAGCAGCCGCCGUAAAAC